GAGGACGCGAAGAAGUGCCAGCAACUGCAAUCACACAUCACAAAGGAAAAGUUUAAACUCAGUCCAUCCUCAAGUCACCUCUAUAUUCACAGAGUUCAAGUGAAUUUGAAUGUAAAUUAAAAAAAAUAAAACAUAAUCAUCUACUAAAAAGGAGUAAAAAGAUUAGCUCAAACUCAAAACAUACAUCACGCUAAACCUUUUCCCCCCUUACUAUGGUGAAGCCCAUCAGAAGUUGUAGGUCACACUUAUUUCACAAUAAAACUAGGCACACUCUUUUUUAAUACAACAAAACUAAAACUUCUAAGCAGUGGAAAUUAAAAGUUUAAAGCUCUAUCGCAAUACUGAAGCACAACUACGUAUAUUUCUACUGUUUUCUGCCCUUCAUCAAAGCUAAUAGCUAUCACAAGACAGGAAAAUUCUUACAGGCAGAAUCGCAGUUCUGCAUAACAUCUCAAUAGAAAAGGUGUCCACAAAUAAGACUCGAACCAAAAUAACCAAUUGUUAACUAUUAACUUUCCCAAUUACAAUACGAUAAAUUGUAGUGUAAUUAAACGCUAAAAUCAAUUCUAUACUAAAACAAAACCCUAACUAAAGCCAAACAGCAACAGCAGUAACUUCAAUUGAAAUCCAAAGCAAGGAGGGGAACAGACUAUAAUUUUUUUCUUUUAGCAAAAAGAACUCGAAACACCGAUGCCACAGAAUCAUCAAUUGCUCAGGCUAUAUAGAUUCAAGAACCAAAAACGAUACAUAAAAAUAAAUUUGAAAAAAGGAACCCUAAUCCUCUAGCACAACCAGUUGAAUUCUGAAUCCAAAUUGAAUUUUCGCAAUUCA
rnacentral:misc_RNA from 1 species